rnacentral:lncRNA from 1 species
AGAUUCUGGGUAAUUGUCCCCAGCAUAGUCGCCAGAGCUGUCACACCUCCUUUUUACCCGCGCCCGCGGGGGCGCAAAGGGAGUUAAGGGAGUUUUUUCAAUUCAAGGACAAUCGAAAUGGGAUUUGUUUAUUAAGAUUCAGAGUCGCCACUUGGGAGAUUUAUGGUGUCCCAAGUCACCGGUUGAAUCCCAAAUCGAGGAAAAGAUUGACUCGGUAUUACAGUCCGCGAACCAGAAAUCCGGAUAAGGAAUUAUGUUAAUGCAGGAGAAGGUGUUAGGCAUUCCCGAGUUCCGUGGUUUUGCACGGUCUUUCAACUG